CAGCCGCCGCGGUAAAACGGAGGGGGCUAGCGUUGUUCGGAAUUACUGGGCGUAAAGCGCACGUAGGCGGCUUGGUAAGUUAGAGGUGAAAGCCCGGAGCUCAACUCCGGAAUUGCCUUUAAGACUGCCGAGCUAGUAGGUGAGAGGGGUAAGUGGAAUUCCGAGUGUAGAGGUGAAAUUCGUAGAUAUUCGGAAGAACACCAGUGGCGAAGGCGGCUUACUGGCUCAUUCUAGACGCUGAGGUGCGAAAGCGUGGGGAGCAAACAGGAUUAGAUACCCCUGUAGUCCCUGUCUCUUAUAC
rnacentral:rRNA from 1 species